GUCCCUGUAGCUCAACAGGACAGAGCGGCUGCCUUCUAAGCAGCGGGUUGUGGGUUCGAGUCCCGCCAGGGACGCCA
rnacentral:tRNA from 1 species